AUUGAAGCGAUGAGAAAGAAGAGUACAGCCGAUAACCGGUUUUCCAGAGAGUUUGUGGUCGGUGGAAACAAACAAUCGGACGGCUGGAAUGGACUUUCGAGCUCCCUUUGCGAACGGCUUCAAGCUUAGUAGUGAAGAGGCGCAUUCCGUUGCGUUAAAAGGAUUCCAUGUGAAUGGAAACAAAGUGGCUCCAUGCGAGCAACUUAGGGUGGCACCGCGGAACAACCAUUCGUCCCUAAU
rnacentral:ncRNA from 1 species